CCGAUAUUGGUCCCCCCCGUUCCAGUUGUCCGAAGCAGGAAUUACAUAGGAUGGAUUCGUUUGAGCUGAAUGUCAGAAGGGAAACAAGCAGAUUUGGACAGAAUGGUAAAAAGUAUUAUCUUGGUGGCUUUGAUUUUAAAAUUGUUGGAUAUAGCUAUUGGACAUUUGAGCAAUUAUGCAAGGCUUUUUGUGAUGAGUAUGCUUGGGGUAGUGAUGAUGACGUAGAAAUCCAAUACUAUGACAAGGUUGAGAAUAAGUUUGUCCAAGUUAGUUCCGAUGCAGAGUUAACUCUUAUGUUUGUGAAGAAUAUGGAGGAUAGGUCAAUAAUUUUGCAGAAUGAAGUUGUUAUCAGAACAAGAGCACAAUGUAAUCCUAACCAUCCUAUCACUGCCAA